rnacentral:tRNA from 1 species
CCAAACAUGUUGGUUAAACCCCCUCCUUUGCUA